GCCAACGUGAUCUAGUGGUUUCAGCAUUAGACUACAACUCUGGAGUCCAGGGUUCAAAUCCCCACUUAGCCA